rnacentral:snoRNA from 1 species
AUAACUUUGAUGAUGAAAUAUUUUCGGAUGUAAAACAUACUUUUGUCUGAAUUGCGCAAACAAUAUCAUGUUGAGAUUUCCGUUGCCUUCCUUCUGAUCCUC